CMWUGGCGGCWGCUUACMCAUGCAGUCGAACGGGGUUCUUCGGAACCUAGUGGCGGACGGGUGAGUAACGCGUGAGAACCUACCUUCAGGAUGGGGAUAACGACUGGAAACGGUCGCUAAGACCCAAUGUGCCGAGAGGUGAAAUAUUAAUAGCCUGAAGAUGGGCUCGCGUCCGAUUAGGUAGUUGGUUAGGUAACGGCUGACCAAGCCAGUGAUCGGUAGCUGGUCUGAGAGGAUGAUCAGCCACACUGGGACUGAGACACGGCCCAGACUCCUACGGGAGGCAGCAGUGGGGAAUUUUCCGCAAUGGGCGAAAGCCUGACGGAGCAAUACCGCGUGAGGGAGGAAGGCUCUUGGGUUGUAAACCUCUUUUAUUCGGGAAGAAUACUGACGGUACCGAAUGAAUCAGCAUCGGCUAACUCCGUGCCAGCAGCCGCGGUAAUACGGAGGAUGCAAGCGUUAUCCGGAUUUAUUGGGCGUAAAGCGUCCGCAGGUGGUUUAUCAAGUCUGCUGUCAAAGCGUGGAGCUUAACUCCAUAUCGGCGGUGGAAACUGAUAGGCUAGAGUUCGGUAGGGGUAGCGGGAAUUCCUGGUGUAGCGGUGAAAUGCGUAGAUAUCAGGAAGAACACCGGCGGCGAAAGCGCGCUACUGGGCCGGUACUGACACUGAGGGACGAAAGCCAGGGGAGCGAAAGGGAUUAGAUACCCCUGUAGUCCUGGCUGUAAACGAUGGGUACUAGGUGUUGCACGUAUCGACCCGAGCCKKGCCCGAAGCCCA
rnacentral:rRNA from 1 species